UAUCAUCAAUCAAAAUGAUCGUGUCAUCUAUAACUUCCAAUCAUGCCAAGAUUUCAAUAGGUUUGAACUUUUUAAUAAAUUGGAAGCAAUAAAAUCCAUCUUUGAUCAACUACUUUCGCUCUGGUUCUAUAUCUUCCUCGUGCAAGUAUGCUUCAACGAGAAAGGCUUUGUUCUGAUCCGUGAAACUCCUCUUACUUGGUCUUUUCUUCAAGCUGUGUACGAGUCAGCUAAACAUUGCUCCGUUACUCCUCUCCAGUAUUAAAUCAUGCCAGGCCAGCGCAAGAUUGUUAUUUGACUACUUUUCCUUCCAAUUACGUUGGAUUACUUCUUGAUUUUAGUUGUGCCGCAAGAUCUCAGAUUUCUAAACUCUGAUGCAUCACCUUCUCCUCUAUUGGGUUUAAAAGAGUUAAUUAACCAGAAGAUCAAACAUAUAAUUUGGAUUUGUGUUUGUUUUGACCAUAAAUAUGUUGAAAGCAGCGUACAUGCUACUGCUUUUAUCUGGGAAUGGUGUUAGCUUAAUAUGGAAAGCGAUCAUGAUUAGGAGCAACCUUAGACCCUAUAUUUUCUACACAUGGCUGAAGGUGAUAUGGUACGAGAUAAUAUAAUUCUAUUUAUUUGUAGUUAAUACCCUUCUACAUAUAUUUGAUGCAGAAUCAUCAAACCGUAACUCUCCCGCAGUAAUUUGAAGGCCAUGGAAAGUAAUGUUUCUUUUACUCAUUGUAACUUAAUCAUAUGCUCUUUUCAUGUUCGUCACAUCUCACAACUUAAGAAAUCGUUGCUACAGUUCUUCACUUUUUUCCUUGUGGUAAAGUAUAUUUUUACUAUUCUUUCAUACAUCUCUUUGUAGUUAAAGUAGCAAGAGAAUUAUGAGUCUGAUGUAGGAUACAAGAGGUAUCCCCAAAGAAGAUUAACUGCCCAAAAACACAUGAUAUCUACUAACCAGCCUCUAAUUACCAAAGUAGUAUCUUUUUCUAAUGCAUAUAUACAUUGAUUUUUAUCUAUGUAGGUUUAGUCACUAUAUAUAUAGGAGGUGCGACUAGCCAUCAUUUGAAUUUAUUCCCACUCUCAUUGCAGUUUGAUCACUGGUCAGAAAUGGGACGGUUACACGAUCUGAUUGGUAGUAGAGGCACCAUCGACAUGGGGGGGGGGGGGUACACUUACAGCCAUAGUCGGAGAAGUCUUAUGCACCCAUAGGAGAUGAAGACAUCGAGCUCCUUUUCUCAUUCAGCUUGAGGUUGAAAUAAAUAAAAAACGAAACCUCAUACCUGAGAUUGAGGACAUUCAGCUCAGGAAGCAGAAGGAGGACAGCUACAACGAUAGGUUCUCAUCAAAAAAUACUUGGCAUCAGAUUGGGGAAGUGACAGUACAAUGCUCGUGGAGUCAGAGCAUGUGGUUUUCACAUUCAACGCCAAGAUGCAUGAUAAGGCUGUGAAACUAAAACUAUAUGCUGAGACGGCUGUGAAUAGUUUUCUGAAGAAAACAGGGGAAGGUGCUCAGUAAAGAGCAUAUCAAUUGACAUAGCUUUAGCUACUACGCUACCUUUAUCUAAGUCGAUAUAAGUUUUGUUGUCUUUUUACAAAGUUCAUGAUUGACCGCAUCUUAGGUUAUACAGACAAAAGCUCAUGAUAGUUCGCAAGUAUGUAAUGCGUGUUAUUGUUAUGCUUGUGCAGAUAUCAAAUUAAGUCUAACAUAAGAUAACAAAAAAAAAAAAAGAGAUGAGAAAUCAGAAGAGGAAGACGAUAGAGGAGAGUGAGAGUUUAAAUACUUUUUGAUUUAUUGUUUUCAUACCUUUUCCACACUUAGGUUUGAUACUUAAAAGACAUACUGAAAUAUAAAACAACAACACUUUAUUUAAAGUACGGAGCACUAGUAGAGACUCUCCCUCGAGCAGAGUCUUCACUUCUUUUCCAUAUUUCUUAGCCACUUUGAACAGAUCCAGCCUUCCUUGCAAAGCUUGGGUCGUCUAUGAUCGAAGCCCAUCUUUGGCAAACUAGUCGAAAGCUUCUAAGAUCAUCCACAGUCGACUUCUGGAAAAUCUUUACCAACAUGGACGUAGAAAUAUAUUUCAUCUUAUUUUAUCUUUUUUUGAAUUGUUGGUGUUGGGCUGCGUCGUGUAUUUAUACCAACUAAGAUGCGAUGCACUUAACAUCGAGUGUAAUGGUAGAUUCUAAUGUUAGGUGCAUCAACCUUGCAAAUAUCACAUAAGUGAAAUAUCAACAAAUUUGAAUAUAAUUUUUUUUUUAUCUUAUUGCAUAUGAAAAUACAAUUAAUGUGUAUCUAUAUAAUAUUAAAGUAAGAGUAUUUGUGAAAACUAUAGUUUAAGCAAAAUAUGUUUCAUAAUUUUUUUGCCGCGAAUAUAAGACAUCCAUUUCGUUGAUACGCAAGUAUAUUAUACAACUUAUAUAUGUUCUGUGUAAAGUAUGUUAAGCAAAAAUAUGUUUCAACUUUUUUUCUUGAUUCUAAAGCAUGUUUAUCGCUAAUACUGAAGUAUAUUAGAUCACUUAUGUAUGUGAUUGUGUUUUAUUUGAUAAUAAUAUUCAGUUGGCUUCUGCUUCGUGGGAUUCACUGUAACAAAACAAGUCCACUUUGAAUUUUUGAAAGGAUAAUUCCAGAUUAAAUAAGAUGAGUACUCUAUCAAGUACGCAUAUGUAUUUUCUU